rnacentral:lncRNA from 1 species
GUUGCCGAGCGCCCCAGCCCCCUAGCUCGUCUUCCUCCUCGCGCGAGCGCCUCCACCGCAGGUUGAUCUCCCCUCGACUCUCUCGCUCCCGACCGUUUCUCCUCCCAUCACCCCACGAACGGAUUCCCCAGGCAGCCGCCCGACCUUGCCCUACUGGGUCCUCCGCCCGUGACUUCAAACAAGGAGGAAGCAGUCGAGCAGGCUGGCCGUCGGGAAGGAUAUGCUCCUAUGAGGCUACGAGGACGGCCAUCGUCCUCGGAGCCUUGAAGGGAGCCACCCGCCGGCACCGGUGCAAGGGGCGCCCCGUCCUGAAUGUUGUUGCAUGAGGGCCGCGAACGCGCUCUGGAGGAAGGGCUGGGGAAGAAGGAUGGCGCCGUGGGACGGCCAUGCGUGCCGAGGAAGGCCGCCGCCGGCGUGCCGGCUUGGGGAGAGAGAGGAGGAGAUUGGGGGGAGUGCUGCCGGCCUGGACGCCUGGUGCGAG